rnacentral:tRNA from 1 species
AUUUGAGAAGCUAGCACAGCAUUAACCUUUUAAGUUAAAAACCGGGAACCAAAUUUCCCCUCAAUGA